rnacentral:rRNA from 1 species
UACGUAGGGUGCAAGCGUUAAUCGGAAUUACUGGGCGUAAAGCGUGCGCAGGCGGUUAUGUAAGACAGAUGUGAAAUGCCCGGGCUUAACCUGGGAACUGCAUUUGUGACUGCAUGGCUAGAGUGUGUCAGAGGAGGGUAGAAUUCCACGUGUAGCAGUGAAAUGCGUAGAUAUGUGGAGGAACACCGAUGGCGAAGGCAGCCCCCUGGGAUAACACUGACGCUCAUGCACGAAAGCGUGGGGAGCAAACAGG